CAGUGAUGCACUGCAUUCCACUGUCUGAUUUUAAAACCUCUGUAGGGAAGUUGCUGUAAGAAACUGAAAUGCAAUUUCCUUGCAAUAAAAUUCUUUCUUAGUCAUGACCCAGCCCUAAAGGGUUAUGGGCUCCGGCAAGCAGUUAGUUACUCACUCUCUCCUUUCUGGUCUAAAUUGGGUUGGAAUAUAUAUCAAAGGAAGCCAGAAAGUGGUUGGGGAGAUUAAAAAAAACAACAACAACAACGUUUAGACUGAAUGUCUUGACGGUCCAUCCAUUCACUUCUGCUUUGAAAAUGGCAUUGUUAUGAGAAAAGUCAUUUUAUUUUCAUUCUUAAAAGGACUUCAUGCAUGAGAUUGCCACUUCACAGAGUAUUUAUCAAACAUGGACAAGCUUAUUUUUAAUCACUGUGUUGAAAGGCAGAAAUUACUUCAUCAGAUUCGUUUUGCUGCUACCUCAAAGACCUAACUGCAGCACCUCAAAGAAAUGAGAAAUUUCAUGAGUAGAGGAAGGAAAGGAACCAGGGAGAUCAGAAAAGACCAGGAUGAAAGUAAAACAGAUUGCUCCCAUAAUGUGGGUGAGCCUCGGCCAGUCAAUUGGAAGGAAGCCUCAAUAGCAUAAAAGACUGCCAUCCCCAGAGUAAGAGGGAAUUCUGCCCGCAAACUGCUUAUGAACUCCAACUGCAGUUCUCUCCUGAGUUACCAGCCUGCAUCCUCCUCCAUCAGAUUUUGGACUCAUCAAGCCUCCACAAUCAUAUAAAGGUGACCCUAGAAGCAUGGCCAUAAACUACCUCAAGAAUGGACAUCUUCAACCAAGUCAAUUAGCAGCAACUGUCCAAAUAUCUGGUUCAUAUGCUGUCUGUAGCCUCCUUGACCCAAACUACCAACUCUGAAACAUGAAAGAGUAGAGGAAGAAGAAGAGGAAGACUGGGUUGUUCUGUUUUAGACACAGGCUGAGUCAUUGCAGCCAGAUUCAAUCAGUGCAAAAGAGAAGGAUUUGGAACAAUUUGGUUAGUUUCCUUCCACCCAAAUGUCUAGACACCCGAAGGGGUGUGCAGCCCGACCUCUCGCUAUUCCUGUUAAAGGCUUCUCUUCAUGGAAAAUGUCAUUGGUUAUAUGGUUUGUUUGUAUUAUCUUUGAACUUAAUGUAUACUAUUCUACCUUUGUCAACAUUCAUUCCCAUUUUCUGUAAGCUUUAAACUAUCCCAGAUGCUGAGUAAAUGUGCAUUUGCUGGAAUGUGGCUGGCCUCUGUAAUCUGGUUGCACAAUCACUACUCUCCCUCUCCAAAUUCUGUAUAAAGUCAAUUUUAAGUAUGCAUUGUCUGGGGCAUUUAUAUCCUGUAGCUUAAGACAGAUGCCAAAAGUGUAAAAAGGUAACCUUGAUCUAUUAUUAUUGGCGUCUAUGCAGCUUAAAAGGAAAAUGGACUCUCAAGUCUGAAUGCUUAUCUGCUGUUCUCAAUCACUUAAUGCUCCAAAGCGUAUGCUGUGAAUGUCAAUUCUUUAGUUGGCUGUCAAGGUACUUCCCACUAGGCAUUUAGCUUCCAGUAUGUUCUGUUCAGAAAAUACCCAGAGCUUCAAGGAUGUCAAUUUGGGUAUCAAAUAUAUGAAUCCAGAGCAAAGUCAUCUGAUACAUAGUUUUCUUCAGCACCGUACUGUGAUCACCUUCCCUGUGUCCAAACUCUGC
rnacentral:lncRNA from 10 species